rnacentral:rRNA from 1 species
UACGAAGGGGGCUAGCGUUGCUCGGAAUCACUGGGCGUAAAGGGUGCGUAGGCGGGUUUUUAAGUCAGGGGUGAAAUCCUGGAGCUCAACUCCAGAACUGCCUUUGAUACUGAAGAUCUUGAGUCCGGGAGAGGUGAGUGGAACUGCGAGUGUAGAGGUGAAAUUCGUAGAUAUUCGGAGGAACACCAGUGGCGAAGGCGGCUCACUGGUCCAUUACUGACGCCGAGGUGCGAAAGCGUGGGGAGCAAACAGG